rnacentral:rRNA from 1 species
GACGAACGCUGGCGGCGUGCUUAACACAUGCAAGUCGAACGGAAAGGCCCUGCUUUUGUGGGGUGCUCGAGUGGCGAACGGGUGAGUAACACGUGAGUAACCUGCCCUUGACUUUGGGAUAACUUCAGGAAACUGGGGCUAAUACCGGAUAGGAGCUCCUGCUGCAUGGUGGGGGUUGGAAAGUUUCGGCGGUUGGGGAUGGACUCGCGGCUUAUCAGCUUGUUGGUGGGGUAGUGGCUUACCAAGGCUUUGACGGGUAGCCGGCCUGAGAGGGUGACCGGCCACAUUGGGACUGAGAUACGGCCCAGACUCCUACGGGAGGCAGCAGUGGGGAAUAUUGCACAAUGGGCGGAAGCCUGAUGCAGCAACGCCGCGUGCGGGAUGACGGCCUUCGGGGUGUAAACCGCUUUCGCCUGUGACGAAGCGUGGGUGACGGUAAUGGGUAAAGAAGCACCGGCUAACUA